GACGAACGCUGGCGGCGUGCUUAACACAUGCAAGUCGAACGGAAAGGCCCUGCUUUUGUGGGGUGCUCGAGUGGCGAACGGGUGAGUAACACGUGAGUAACCUGCCCUUGACUUCGGGAUAACUUCAGGAAACUGGGGCUAAUACCGGAUAGGAGCUCCUGCUGCAUGGUGGGGGUUGGAAAGUUUCGGCGGUUGGGGAUGGACUCGCGGCUUAUCAGCUUGUUGGUGGGGUAGUGGCUUACCAAGGCUUUGACGGGUAGCCGGCCUGAGAGGGUGACCGGCCACAUUGGGACUGAGAUACGGCCCAGACUCCUACGGGAGGCAGCAGUGGGGAAUAUUGCACAAUGGGCGGAAGCCUGAUGCAGCAACGCCGCGUGCGGGAUGACGGCCUUCGGGUUGUAAACCGCUUUCGCCUGUGACGAAGCGUGAGUGACGGUAAUGGGUAAAGAAGCACCGGCUAACUACGUGCCAGCAGCCGCGGUGAUACGUAGGGUGCGAGCGUUGUCCGGAUUUAUUGGGCGUAAAGGGCUCGUAGGUGGUUGAUCGCGUCGGAGGUGUAAUCUUGGGGCUUAACCCUGAGCGUGCUUUCGAUACGGGUUGACUUGAGGAAGGUAGGGGAGAAUGGAAUUCCUGGUGGAGCGGUGGAAUGCGCAGAUAUCAGGAGGAACACCAGUGGCGAAGGCGGUUCUCUGGGCCUUUCCUGACGCUGAGGAGCGAAAGCGUGGGGAGCGAACAGGCUUAGAUACCCUGGUAGUCCACGCUGUAAACGGUGGGUACUAGGUGUGGGGUCCAUUCCACGGGUUCCGUGCCGUAGCUAACGCUUUAAGUACCCCGCCUGGGGAGUACGGCCGCAAGGCUAAAACUCAAAGGAAUUGACGGGGCCCCGCACAAGCGGCGGAGCAUGCGGAUUAAUUCGAUGCAACGCGUAGAACCUUACCUGGGUUUGACAUGGAUCGGGAGUGCUCAGAGAUGGGUGUGCCUCUUUUGGGGUCGGUUCACAGGUGGUGCAUGCCUGUCGUCAGCUCGUGUCGUGAGAUGUUGGGUUAAGUCCCGCAACGAGCGCAACCCUUGUUCACUGUUGCCAGCACGUUAUGGUGGGGACUCAGUGGAGACCGCCGGGGUCAACUCGGAGGAAGGUGGGGAUGACGUCAAGUCCUCAUGCCCCUUAUGUCCAGGGCUUCACGCAUGCUACAAUGGCUGGUACAGAGAGUGGCGAGCCUGUGAGGGUGAGCGAAUCUCGGAAAGCCGGUCUCAGUUCGGAUUGGGGUCUGCAACUCGACCUCAUGAAGUCGGAGUCGCUAGUAAUCGCAGAUCAGCAACGCUGCGGUGAAUACGUUCCCGGGGCU
rnacentral:rRNA from 1 species